AUGGCGGAGAUUGUGAUUCUACUAGCCAUUAAAAAGAUUGGCACUGCCUUGGCAAAUGGAGUAGCAGACCAGGCAAGCACACAAUUUGCGAAGUAUGGGACACAACUACUAGAGCUACAAGCCAGCAUGGAUCGUCUUGUGAGGGAGCUUAGUGUAAUGCAUGAUGUUCUCUGUCAAAUGGACAUACGAAACCUCAACAACACAGUCUAUGAGAGCUGGCUGGAGGGGGUACGGAAGGUAGCAUAUAAUACGGAGGACAUGGUGGAUGAGUACUUGUAUCUAGUUGGUCAGGAGAAUGAUAUAGGGUGUUGCUUUUACCUGAAGAAAGGGUUCCGAAAACCAAGAUCUCUACUUUCUUUGAACCGGAUAGCUAUCAAGGUGAAGCAGAUAGAGGAAGACCUUACACACCUGUCAGAGACAAAAAACCGUUGGGUUCCCGUGAACAAUGGGGAUACUAGUAGCUCAGACUACAUUGUUAAGAGGUCCCAAGAUCUAGCGAACAUUUCACGUUCCCUUGCUGAAGAUCUAGUGGGGGUCGAUGAGAACAGUGAAACACUUCAGAAGUGGUUGGCAGGUGAUCAUUUGGAACGCUCUGUGAUAGCGCUGCUUGGAAUGGGAGGGCUUGGUAAAACAGCUUUAGCUGCAAAUGUCUACAGGAAGGAGAGGGAGAAAUUCCAAUGCCAUGCGUGGGUCUCCAUCUCUCAAACUUAUUCUAGAGAAGCUGUCUUGAGGAAUAUAAUCAAGGAACUUUCAAGAGGUAAAGUCAGUGUUCUAUCUAACACUACGGACAUGGACAUCCCACGUCUUGAAGAGACAAUUAAGACAUUUCUGGAACAACAAAAGUAUUUGAUCAUUCUGGAUGAUGUUUGGACUCCUGAAGCAUUUAAUGAUUUGUCUAGCGUGCUUAUUCAUAAUGAUAUGGGUAGUCGACUGGUAAUCACAACAAGGGAAAGCCGUGUUGCUGCACUUGCCUCUCAAGGACAUAUCUUAACACUGCCAGCUUUACCUGAAGACAAGGCAUGGGAUCUCUUCUGUAAGAAAGCCUUUCCAAGAGAUACAAGUCAUGAAUGUCCUACGGAGUUGAAGCAUUUGUCGGAGGAAAUAGUUAGCAAGUGCAAAGGCUUGCCUCUUGUUAUUGUGUUAGUUGGUAGCCUCUUGCGUGUGCGUGAGAAAACUGUGGAAGAAUGGAGAAGAAUAAAUGCCCAAUUGAGUUGGGAGCUAAUUAAUAAUUCAAGUCUCAGUGAUAUAAGGAAUGUUUUGCAUCUGAGCUUCAUAUACCUUCCAACACGCUUGAAAUGUUGUUUCUUAUACUGCAGCUUAUUUUCGGAAGACUAUCUUUUCAAAAGGAAACAACUUGUACGGUUAUUGGUAGCCGAGGGGUUCAUCGAGGAGAGGGGUGAAAGCACACUAGAAGAUGUGGCAGAAGGCUAUCUGAAGGAGUUGAUUGACAGAAACAUGCUACAACUUGUUACAAGGAACCACUUCGGUAGGAUGAAGGAAUUCAGAAUGCAUGAUAUCUUACGUGAAUUGGCAGUUGAUUUGUGCUAG
rnacentral:rRNA from 1 species